ACUCCUACGGGAGGCAGCAGUGGGGAAUCUUGCGCAAUGGGCGAAAGCCUGACGCAGCAACGCCGCGUGGAGGAAGAAGGCCUUCGGGUUGUAAACUCCUGUCGGGGGAGAAGAAGGCACCUGGGUUAAUAGCCCAAGGGUUGACGGUAUCCCCAAAGGAAGCCACGGCUAACUACGUGCCAGCAGCCGCGGUAAUACGUAGGUGGCAAGCGUUGUCCGGAAUCAUUGGGCGUAAAGCGCGCGUAGGCGGUUUGUCAGGUCUGAUGUGAAAUCUUGGGGCUCAACUCCAAGCGUGCAUCGGAAACCGGCUUACUAGAGUCUGGAAGAGGAGAGUGGAAUUCCUGGUGUAGCGGUGAAAUGCGUAGAUAUCAGGAGGAACACCAGUUGCGAAGGCGGCUCUCUGGGACAGUACUGACGCUGAGGCGCGAAAGCUAGGGGAGCGAACAGGAUUAGAUACCCUGGUAGUCCUAGCCGUAAACGAUGGACACUAGGUGUCGGGGGUGUCGACUCCCUCGGUGCCGAAGCUAACGCAUUAAGUGUCCCGCCUGGGGAGUACGGCCGCAAGGCUAAAACUCAAAGGAAUUGACGG
rnacentral:rRNA from 1 species